ACAGUUUAGCCCGUGGCCACUGAGGGAAGAAUAUAAGUUAACCUCUGUAGUGACCAUGUGGAAGUCCUGACCUUGCUUGCAGACUUGACCUCUGGAUAUGACAAGGUGGCUUCAAUACAGAUCUACCAAUUAAUCUGGGAAACUAAAAAACAAAAAACAAAAAUAACCAAACAAACAAAAAACUUCACAGCAAGAAAGAUACAGAAUUAUUUCCUGAGAAGUCAGAAGAACCCAAUGUAUUCUGGUGGGCAAAGGAAAAUAGGGUGAGGUUCUGUAUUCACUGAUACGGCCCCCUUUUCUCGGCUCUUGAAAAGAAGUGCUGAAUCAGCGAACCGAGUGAAGGAACAAGCAAGAUGAGAUGGCUGCUGCUGCGACUCUUCAGGCCACCGUCUCUCUUCCUCCUGCAAAUGCUGCAUGGCACCUAAGCUUACCAGGAUCUAGAAGCAAACUACAAAGUAAGAAGAAAUUCGCUCUGAAGACUAUAAAGAAACACUAGGCUGAUCUUCCCAAUUUCUGAAAUAUACUCUACGAAAACUCCACUGAUUCUAUGAAUCUCUUGCAAAAACAACCAGACCAGGACAAAGUUCAACAGAUAACUGGUUAGUGUUUAGAUGUGUCUAUAUCUACCAAGAACAAGGAACCAUAAAUGGCACUAAUGUUAUGAUUCAGGUAAAUCUGUUAUAGUCUUUGACAGUCUCUGCAAAUGAUCUACCACUGCCAUCAGUAAGCUCAAUGUUUUACUAACAAAUGGGAAAAUAAAACAUAUCAUGUUUUUACAGCUAACAACUUAGUAAAACCUACUCAGAGUA